CUGUGAAGGAUAUGAAUGAAAUGGAAGCCCUAGAAAGCAAACUGAUGGAUCCUGACCUAGAGAAGAAAGUUAUUGCAAGUCUGUAUGUAAUAGGUGGAUCAGGUCUUCCAGACACAGUGAGGCGCAUUCUGCGAUACACUGUGAGCAACUCCUUGGCCAUCCACUUCAAUUGGUGUGGCAAAGGAAUGAAACGGAGCUUUUGCACAAUGAAGCUGAAGGAUACAAUAAUUAAUUUGAGUAUAUUGAAGUUUACUGAGUUAAAGGCAGAUUUCCUAUUGACAGAAAGUGUCCGCAAGAAUGCAGAGCACAAGAGUGCAACAGCUGCCUCAAUUGAAAAAGUAAUGAAGGAGUGGUUUCGAACAGCCAGAGAUCGAGAUGGAGGCCGUCGGAGGAGAGAUGUAAGAACUUGUGAGAGCAGUGAUACUGCCUAGACUUUCUGGCAUUGCAUAUUCAAAGUUCUCUCUCUCUUGCUCUCUCUUUGUGCAUUAAUGCAUCAUAAAAUACUCAGUUUACUGGUACCAUUCCAGGCUUUCAUGCCACAGUGACACCACACAUUCCAGUCUCCCUCCAUGUAUCCUGAAGCUCUCAUCCCACUUCUCCAUUCACCUUAACAUGCACCUGUGUCCCUUUGAUGUGCUUUCACACCUCUUAAUGAUCUACCUGCUCCAUAUGCACACCUCCCGUCACAUUCCACAUAGCCCACAGUCAGUCCUGUUAGAUGCAUUUUCCUCAUUUAUAAAUGCCUGUACCUUAAUUUCAUUCUUUUGGCUGUAAUGUUUCAUCUGUACAUUAGUAGUUAAUUGAAAUGUUGUGGACAGCAUUGCUGUAAUGGAAGCCACUUUAAUUUUUUUUUUUUUUUUUUUUUUUAUUUUUUUUUGUGUAGGAUGUAGGGAUAGGAUUAUUAUGAUAUUAAUUAUGUAAAUACUCAGUUUAGGAAUAGAGCUCAGGAUAGCUAAUGGUAAUUUUGUACUUAACACUGAUGCAAAGAUUAGGCAUUUGUUAUUGCUUGUUUCAAGGGUGCUCGCAGUGUUUUCAUGUUGCUGACUAAUGAUUAAUACUUGUGGUGCUGAGAAUUAUAUUGGUGAAAGAAUACUAAUUGUUCAGUUCUUAAAGAAAUCUUUUUUUGUAGCUACACACAAUGUAUUACCAAAGUGUGUGUGUGUGUGUGUGUGUGUUUUAGCUGUUCAGUAUUAAAUUGUUUUAAGUUCUCUGACAGUUGAUUCAUAAACUAUACUUUAAACAGAGUUAAUCAUUGGUAAGAUUUAAAGUAAAGAUGUGAAAGACUAUAUCCUCAGGCUGAAAAUAGUAAAUACAUAAGUAAUAUCAGGUGCUAUCACUAAGGCAUAAAGAGUAAGAAUGUGUACCAUCAUAUUGUUGUAGUUGUAAGGAAUGAUGACAAGGGCCAGGAAUCCCUCCCCUUAUUAUUAUUAUUUUUAUUAUUAUUAUUUUUUUUUUUUUAACAAAAAAUAUUGAUUGAUUUACUUUUUAGGAGAAUUAUCUUAUUUCAUUUUCCACUGUCUUGCUUGGAAAUUACCUUGCUGAACAGGAUAAAUUAAGUUCCUUGAAAAGUCUUAAAUGUUGUGAUUUUAGAUUAUUUUUCUUUAGUUUCUAAGGUAAAAUUACAGCUAUACAACUGUUAAAUCUGGUAAUGAUAAAGUAUAAGUGUCUUCUCUUGCUUACUAAUGGCAUCAACCCAAUUGUAAACCCUAUUGUGAUAGCUGAAGAUCUUGUCAAAAUAAACUUAAGUCCACUGAA